AAAAAAACAAUGAAGAGGAGUAGUAAUGGAACCUCGUGACCUAGAGAGUUGACGGUAGGUGCAAGUCAAUCAUAGAGAUCCAUGAACUCGCCUUAAAGUUGCAAGAGUGAAACUUAGUAGUUCUUGUCGUCUUCCGCGUUAAGGAGUUAAACAAGUGAGUGUAUCCAACACUAAAUUGGGUGGUACCGCGGGAAAAUUUCGUUUAUUAACCUCUCGUCCCUAAC
rnacentral:ncRNA from 1 species